rnacentral:rRNA from 1 species
AUUGAACGCUGGCGGCAUGCCUUACACAUGCAAGUCGAACGGCAGCACGGGAGCUUGCUCCUGGUGGCGAGUGGCGAACGGGUGAGUAAUACAUCGGAACGUACCCAGGAGUGGGGGAUAACGUAGCGAAAGUUACGCUAAUACCGCAUAUUCUGUGAGCAGGAAAGCGGGGUAUCGCAAGACCUCGCGCUCUUGGAGCGGCCGAUGUCGGAUUAGCUAGCUGGUGAGGUAAAAGCUCACCAAGGCGACGAUCCGUAGCAGGUCUGAGAGGAUGAUCGGCCACGCUGGGACUGGGACAGUGCCCAGACGCCUACGGGAGUCAGCGGUGGGGAAUUUUGGACAAUGGGGGCAACCCUGAGCCAGCCAUGCCGGGUGAGUGAAGAAGGCCGUCGGGUUGUAGAGCUCUUUCGGCGGGGAAGAAAUGGCAACGGCUAAUAUCCGUUGUUGAUGACGGUACCCGCAUAAGAAGCACCGGCUAACUACGUGCCAGCCGCCGCCGUAAGAC